CACAAAACUGGAGAACCCUAAAACACUGUACGCUUGCGACCUGGUUUCUUUCGAUCGCAGCCUCGCGUGGCGGCGCCUCGCCAUGGUUGGAUUGGAACGGCGACUGCGCUGGGUUUGCACUGACGCGAGGGACAGCGCCUCCAUGGUCUGUUCGGUUGCACGAACGCGAUGGACAGCGCCCCCUCUUUCCAUUCGGUUGCAUGGACGCGAGCGGCGCAGCCGGAUGAGGUGUGGCGGCGAACAACUCUGAAGUUCAGCCUGGCUUGCGAGGGUAUCAAGCGCCAGCGAAGCCAGCCAUCGAUCCAGCGCUAGGGGAGACCGGGAGAAGAUACAGCAAGCGGGAAGCCGAUCCAGCCAACGAGGAGAUCUAUCGGCCGUGCAGGAUGCGGAUGAAUGGGCGGGCAACCAAUCCACCCGAUCGCGGUCGAACCGCCUGCAUGGAAAGGGUGGGACGCUGACGAUAAUGGCCGGCGCAUCAUCACGACUUCUGAUUUUUCUCAUAUUUUUACAUGGGAACAGGGGAGCUUUGGAGCUUGUGUCUAGACUACAAUCUAACCAUCAAAAUAGGCAGCAGCUUCAUCCGCGUAACACGUAAGCUAUCUCCUUCCCUGUACCUUCUUUGGAUUUGCAUUGUUUUUAGAUGCUUUAUGUUUCUUGUGGAUGCCAUCUUGCUGAACCACGUGACUAGCACUAAAUCGCUGAAUCAAAGGUGUGUAGCAAACAACGAUUGCUACUGUAUGGUGUAUGCCAUGGUUGCUGACCCCUUUGUCUGUAGUUUCCAAUUUUGUGCACAGAUAGUUCAGCAAAAUCAAAAGUGUGUAGAUGCUAAUGUUAUCUGUUUGCUCCACAAAAGAUAGAAAGGGGAGAUGGGAAGGGAUGCUUAGUCAUGGCCUCAUGGAUCAUUGUUUCUUAGGGAUCAUGCAUAUAUAUAAGACUGAUAUGAAUUCCUAAAUUAAUUGAUGGCCAUGGUUUUAUGGGCAGCCAAGGUUUUAUGUGUUCUUAAUCUACUCUUUGAUCAAUCUCCAUGGAUCCUAUUGUUAUUUGUUUUCCAGUGUUGAAAUUACCUGCUCUGUAUAAUAACUCAUGUGUCUCGUUGCCUACACAAGCUAAUGAGCAAGAAUUAGUCUAUCAUUCAUGUUGUUUCAUCUGUACCGGGGUAAUACCGAAAGAUGGACAUCUGACACUGCUUGUAGCUAUAGUGAAGUACUCCUGGACCAUGAUCCAUCCCUUGCGAAAAUGUUUGGCCAAUCAAAAUGUGACUCCUCUGAUAACUGCGGUGAUUAGAGGCCACCUCAAGGUAGUGAACCUUCUGCUGGAGCAAGUUUCUGGGUUGAUUGAACUACCAAAGGCAAACAGAACAACAAUUGCACAUACCCUUUAUUUUCCUGGUACAAGGAGUCUCCAGACACGACAAAGUAUGUAUCUACAUCUGAAAAUUUUCUUAGCUUUUCCAGAAAUAUGAUUUUGGUUUAUCUAUUAGCACUACCCCAAUUUACAUUGGAUUUGUGUGCACAUUUCUAAAAGUAAGGUUGCAUGGUCCAUUUUUGUAAGGUCAUAUUUUCUGAUCAUAACUUAUUGGCAAUCACAGUUCUAAUUUUAUUGUUUAAUUCAACAAUUCUAUUAGCGGUUAGUUUUGUUUAUUUCACCUCACUGCAUUAAACUCCAUAGUUUGAUUUUUUUUAAAUCUACGGAUCCUACUUAUGCCAUUUCGUGUUCCUCCUCUUCUGGCCUUCUCCAUCCGUGACCAAGACUACUAUCCGUAUGCAAAUAAUGUAAGUUCACAAGCUCUAAUCCAAAUUAUGUAGUCGCCAUGGUGAGAACUAACAACUGUAUUCCUUCUAAUUUGGGAAAAAUGUUGUUGGCCAAUUUUCUUAAAAUUUACAAGAACUGAGUAGCCGUCACUUGCUUGCAUAAAAUAGACAGUUUAAUUUAUGGUAUGCUUCGGUUUUUUGUCAUACAUGUUAAUUUGGUAAGAAAAUUUGUGUGCAGUUUUAAAUUAACUCAAUCUGGGAGCUAGCCAAUGGAUAUUUCCUUUGUUCAUUGUCAGUUUUGAUUUGAGCAAUAUAUAUAGAGAGAGACAGAGAGCUAAUAUGGUUUGAAGUUUCUUAUUGUUUGACCCCCCAUUCCGUUCAACUAGAUCUUCUACAGACAAUAGUAUAAUUAUUUUUCUCUUCCUCUACAUGCCCUAUAUAGGCAUUUGUUAUUUUGCGCUACAGAGUAAGGAUAAAUAUUUAACUCUGAUUCCAUUACCCACUUCGCCAUGCUUCUAUGUUGGUAGUUUUGCUACACUAUAGUAGUAAUAAUCCUUGUGUGACAAUUAUUCUACUGAUUACAUCAUAGAUUACAUCGUAGCACAGGGAUGACUUGAGGGGCUUUCAAACUGCAGUUCAAGAGACAAUCUGUUUGUUCUAUGGAGGUGUGCUCAAUGGACUUCUUUUUUUGCUACACUAUUCUUCAAAAAAAUAAAUAAUAAUUUUAUCUUCACAUUUUCUUCCAAGCGAUUUUUUCUUUUCUUAUAACUUUGUACCAUCUAAUUUCACUUAGUAAUAUUUGUGUUAAUUCUCUCUCCUUAACUGGCCAAAGUUUAGGUAAGCCUAAAUUCCAAAGUUGUUUGGUGGAACUUAGCAUCAGAAUGGCUUGGCUUUCUAAAACAGAAAAGACGGCAGUCUUUUUUUUGUCAUACUGUGCAUGUUCGGAAACAAGAAUUGGAUAAUGAAGACAAAGCUGUUGGUGAGAAGACCCGGAUCAUGUAUGCUUUUGUAUCAAAGGAUUUUUCUCGUAGCCAUCCCAAGUUGAGCAGUUCUACAUACAUACAUACAUACAUACAAUAUUAUCAAGAAACAUUCUUGUGGCAGGAAGCUCAACAAAAUUCGUAUAAAUUCUCAAGUCAAUCAUG